AAAAAAGUUUCGCCACAACGCUACCUAGCGGUCAAAUAUAGAACUGCAUGCAAAAUUCCCUUUUCUUGCCCCAAAACGCGAAAUUUUCUUCGCUUAUUCGCUUAUUCGUCAGAACGUGAGAAGUUGUAACACACGUAACUUAUCAUUUCAUCUGAUGAGUCAACAAUCAACGUUAAGCCAUGUUAAGCUAGCUUCGAAAAUUACCAAUGAUUCAUAGUCAGAGUAAACGUGAAAGUCGUGCAACCUAACGUCAACUAUUUUGUUCAAACUCAUUGUAUUCUACUGAAUGUGUCAUCAAAAUGAUACAGGAUUAAUCUUAAUUAUCGGCUGUUUCUAUUGAACCUGCUAGAUCACCGACCCCAGCAUGGAACAAUCUCUCAUAGUGAAUCUUGGAUAACUGAUUUGUGGUUUCAUGUUUCUAAAUUAGCAUGACUGACUAUAUGAGAAAGUAAGUCCAAGAAAAGGACUUACAGAGUUACAGUCAACAAGAUUUCUUGUUUGCUAACCCGUUGGCUGCUACCCAUGAAACUCCCUAUUUUUCAACAACAAAAAAAGAGGUUAAAUAUUGUGAUCAUGCUAUCAUCAUUAUGUUGCCUAUAAGACCAAAUGUGGGGCAUAUGGUUAUCCCUCCAAAAUAAGGCAAUGACCACAAGUUCAACGCGGAUCAUCGCUUUGUCAUCGAACUUGACUCAUUCCAUCUUCUGGAUUG